rnacentral:lncRNA from 1 species
UUUUUGUAGCGUAAAAGAAAAAUAAAUUCAUACAUAUUGUAAUACAAAUAGUCAAGGUAUGUAAUUUAAUUUACAAUGACACGUGGGCCCCCAAAUGACAAAAGUGAACGAAGGCUGUGAACCUACGAUUUUUUAAAAAGUAAAGCCAACUGUAGCUUUCGACGAUAUCAGCUAUCUAUAGCCUAUUCUGAGCCUGAAAUGGGUGGAAAGGAGGGUGGUGAGAUUAUAUAAUCCCAGUGAGUAAACAAACACCAUCCAAAAUAUCUAAAGUCGAGUAAAUGGAGACGAUUAAAACAUUCCAUCUCAAUAUGUAAUUCAUAACAUAAAUAUUCAUUUCAUUUAAAUAAUCAACAUGGCUUAUAAGUAUCUUAAAAGCUUGGCUCCUGCCAAAAUCAUUCUCGGGAAUACCUUGGUUGAGGCAUCUAACUGGGUCCACCAAGACUGUUAAACAUUUCGUAUACACGUAAACAUAUUUUUAGUUUGAAAAACACAACUGUUCCUUGGCAUUAGCGGAGUUCAUCAUCACGAGGUGGUUUGGCGUGACGUGAACCCUAACCAUACCUCAAGAGAUACCCUAUGCACCUUUCCGACCGAGGUACGUAUAUAAUCGGAUUUUGUGCCCCUCUAAUAGGCUGGUCUACAGAACCCGCCCACUGCAGCAAGCUAAACCCACCAUACAAUAAAAAUUCAACAGCAUGACAUGGCAAUUUUAUCAUUAUCCAGCCUAUCAAGGCAAACAACAGUUUAUACAUUUUCAACACAAAUACCAAUUCAGCCAUUCAUGCCAAUAUUGCCAUAAGCCAAUCAAUUAGAACCAUAAAUUCACAACACAUCAAAUGGUCUCCAAUUACUCUAUUUUCAAAGCCAUCAUUCAAUUUCAAGACAAUUUAUAAAAUCAUUUCAUUUAAACACAAUUUGUUUAUAAAAUCUUAAAAUUAACCAUUUAAACUCAUUUUCCAUAAAAUUCAAAAAAUUGAAUAAAAAGAUAACUUUAGAUAAUUAAAAUGAUGAUAAGGUUACUCACUAUUUUGGGAGUCGAAUUUUUAGAGUACUCCGACUAUCGAUCCUCGGGUACAAUUUCUUUGCCCUUAUCGGAGGAUUCACCACCUAGACAUAAUGCACAAUCAAGCAAUUUACCACAUUGGUGCUAAACCGUUAUAAAACUAUAUGGAUGCAUGAAAUGGAAUGCAAAUUGUUAGAAUUAUCAUCUAAACACGGUGUUCUACACAAAUUCAAUUGUGUACCUAAAUAAAACGGUAUUGGCCUAAUUCGAUCUAUCACUCGAUUAAUUGGCCAAUAUGUCCAAUUCAACUCCAAUUAACUCUAUUUUUCUUCCAAUUCUCCAAACCAUCAAACACAAGUCAAAUAGCAUAAAAUUUAGCAAAAUUAUCUUCACAUUUUCUCUUGGGAAUUUUGGCCAUGGUGGGUGCAUCAACACUAUGAUUUUUCCUACUUGAUUUUCUCACUGUAAUUCAUCAUUUCCUAACCAAUUCACUUGAAAUAAAAUCAAAUCCACCAUCCACACUUUACAUGGAAAAUUCGGCCAAUGAUGGGUGAUGGGAUGAAGUGAAUUUUUCUUGCUUGAUUUUCAUGCUACACAUCACCAAUCAACUAAAAUCAACCAUCAAAAUCUCUCUCUAAGUGUUCGGCUAGCAAGAGACCUAUCAUGAAAUCAUGUGAUUCAACCAUGAAAAAUGCAAAAGAAUGUAUGGGAAAGGUAGAUCACAAGUGAAAAUCAAGAAAUUAUACCUUCGAUUGUUUGAUUACUUGAAAUCCACUAAUUUUCUCUUGAAUUUUCACUCUAGGUUUUUGUUCUUUCUUUGCUUCCUUUGUUCUUG